AAGGUAGAUUCUACUGUCUCAUUGCCUAUUCAUACUGUGUGGCCUCAUGUUGUCUUUUUUCUUACUUAGUCAUUCUUAAGUGUGUUUUUUUUCUGCAGAAUGUGAGCAUCUGUUUUUUUGUGCAUGUUAGUUUGGGAAAAAAAAAAAAAAAAGGAAGUGAAUAUGCCCUUUCUGAUCUCAAUGUCGUGUUAAGGAGAAAUCUGACUUAAUAAAUACGUAAGAGGAAUAAUCUCAAAAAUGUUAAUAGAUUCCAAGAGCUAAACACCUCUCCCUUCUUUGUGACUUUCCAGGAUGCUUUUGGGAAAGUUACCUCUCCUGAAUAUCAGGAGCACAAGAACAGGAACCACAGCCUCUUGUCGUACCAGAAUGCAUUUUGGCUAACUGUAUAAAACCAGUACAGUUCUGAGAUAGCUGUAAUGAAUCAGAACUGAGAGUCAGACAGGAAAGAAAUCCAUGGUAAAUUUAUGUGAAAACUUGCCAGUUUCUAACAAGCCAUGGUGCAACUCAGUUUUUGAAGCUUGGUAAAAUUCUAAGGUGAUGCCUUCAUUUGUAAACAAACGAAAUUUAGAAGUGUUAUUUUACAAGAUUUUUUCCAUGUCAGUUUUCGAGUUUAAAUAAGUUUUUAUGAUAAUAAAUUCUUAACUUAUUGUAAAGAGAUCUACAAAGCAAAAUUCAAAUAGAGAUAUAACUAUAAUGGCUUUACUGGUAACCACUACACUAGCUGGCUGCUGGAGACAACAAUAUUAGCAAAGACAGAUAUAGUGCAAUAUAUAACAAACUUGAAGAACUGAAAUCCAUAGUGGUUCUUUUACUGUGACCAGAUGGUGCCCUAUGGAGAGGACAAAUUCCAGUGAAAUUGAUUUACUGUCUUUUGUUUAGCUGCUUACAGAUUGUAUUUAUGAUCAGAAUGAAAAUUCAUGUAAUGUGGUUUGCUGUGUAAACAUUGUGCUUGUUCUAAUACAGAGAUCAAAUAACCUUGAAGGACUGUGAACAUUCAAACACAAUUGAGCUAAUAUUGGAAGAAUAUUGCUUUCUGAGAUAUUGCAAAACACACAUUGUAAGAACACCUUUUCUUACAGUGUUUAAUGCUAUAGAGGAAACUUCACGUAUCGUUUCCGCAGUCGUGAAACAUGGCCAUUCAGUAUUUCUACAAAGCCUGUAAUCACCUGCUACAGGUCCUGAUUGGUUUUCUCUUUACAUUUUCAUCACCUUGUUUUUAUAUUUACUUUCUUAUCACGUUGUUCUAGUUCUUUGUGCUAACAUUUGACAGGCACAGUUCUGGGUUGCUGAUUGGAAUGUGAGUUGUUCUGUAAAAUAUGCAGUUUGAGUGGGGAUUGUUUUGUGGUUGUCUUUUCACUCCACCUGUGGAUCAGGUAUGUUCUGCUACAAGGGAAAUGGAUACAUGAAAUAAAGGGCAGUGAUGAACCAUAAGCUAAUCUGAUCUCCUGGAUGGACUUGAGUAUUGCUUGAAUUCAUGUGUAAUUUCAACUUAGAUAUAGCUGAGUCCGUGACAGUACUAACUUCUCUCAUACUAUUUUACAACUUGCUUGAGUUGUCAGCAGGUUGUUAACCAACUCAGCUUUAGGGUGCUACUGGGGUCUGUUCCAAAGCCCACUGCCAGAGCAAAGUAACUGGAGAACAGUGUGUCACAUUCUCUCCCUCAAGAAAAGAAGACUUAAAUUCUGUGUCGUGAUUUGAGCUCCUCACCUGCUAGACCACCAGUGGCUCCUUCCAGAUGAAGACUCCUGCUUCAGUCCUUCAGAAUGUGACAGCUAAGUUUUUCUCAGUCUCAAAAAAAUAUAUAUUCUCAAACUGUGUACAAAGAUGCUUGUUUUAAGGAAGCAGUGGAGCUUAGUAGGCACCUCUAGGAGAAAACUUAUAAAUUUCUGGGGCUUAAAAGAGUUUUGAAAGAAUAAUGUGAAUUGCACCUAUAACAGCAAGUGCUAUGCCAUUCACGUCUGUCUGCUGUUAUGAGUUGCAUCAACAUGUUUGCCUCCAUGCCAGCUCAGCUUUUUUAUUUCCCUAACUGUUCAGGCACAGUUGGGUUUAGCAUGAUGCCUCGAAGAGAGAAGAGGAGAGAGAGUAUUCUGGGUAUCGUGAAGCCUUCUGAUUCUCAUCAAUGAGGCUAUAAAUCUGGCAAUCUGAAGCGGUUACUUUUGAAGGAAUGCUAUUAAAAAUCCACUAAAAUGAUUGAAAUUGUGGCGUUGCAGCUGACUGAAAACCCGCAAGUGAAUAUCUCUUUCACUAUACGUGCUGUAAAUUUUAUGCUGCAAACUAGAGAGAGAUUAAUUUGUUUCCACUAAUGUCAGAAUAAAUUUAGAAGUUGUUCUGAGUACGAGUGUGAAAUGAGGCAGCUGUCAGCAUGAUUUACCCCUAUCAUCGCUGAGCUGGCAACUUACUGCAGUGAGAUGAUGUUUGCAGCUCUUUUGCUGUGGCAUGCUAGGGUGACUACUGACAGCCCAUGUAAGCCCAGGCACAAUCAGUGUCCGUUUACCAAAGAGCAGGACGCUUAGGCUCUUACUUUUAGAAUCUCUUAUGUGAAGUGAUUCAUAAUCAGUGCUAUCUCUUCAUCAGCAUCUCAUAUCUUUAAAGCACAAACAAUUCCUGUGUCUGGCCCUAUUUGCCACAUUGGAAUGUUCUCUAUGCUAAGAAUCUUUGUUGCUGUGUUCCUUCGGUAGUGUUGUCUUCUUCUCGAACUCUCAUCAAAAUCAUAUAGUUAUUAAAAUCAAACGGUGCUGAAACCUGUGCUCCAAGCUACAGAUGCUCACCCCUGGUGAACAAUUGGCAAGAUGCUCUGUGGAUAGAAAAGGAAUCAAAUUGAUUCCUACUCAAUUUCCUUAAUAAUUGACCCUUCUGUGAACUAAGAAGAAAUGUGACAUUUCCUAGAGCUAAUUGGCUUAUGACUUUUCAAAGGAAACUUUAAUUUCCUCCAUUAUUCCAUGAUAUAUGAUAGUUUGACUUCCAUGCUGAGAAAUGUAGCUGUACACUUCCAGAUGAGAAUUAGUAUAUUCCAUUCCUAAUGUGGUGAGAGAAUCUGUGUCCUCAGCUGGAACGAGUUAAUACAGCUGUCUUUUCUUCAGGGAAGGCAACCCUAUGAAGAUCUGUCUGAAGAAACUUUAUUUAUUACGUUAACAAGUCUGAUACUGACGAAGGCACCAAACUCUUUUUUUUUUUUCUCUUUAUUUCUUUUUCUUUGUAUUUUUUUCAUCUGUUUGUAACUACAGAUUUUGUUGCACUGUCAGUCAUCACAGUCCUGCCUUUCCUGCUUCAACUUCCAAAUGCUUUCCUGAAAAGUUCAUCAGAGACCACACUAAAGCAUUAGGACUGGAAAGCUGUCUAGUAACAGAUGAGAUCUGACUAUAAAAUAUGAGAGAUAUAUCAUAGUAGUUGUAUUUCUUUUAUUCUGGUAUUAAAAGUGUUUUUACUUGGCAUCAAAAUAAAAUGUUAGUGGCCAAGCUGUUUAGCCAGGAUGUGUUGUUGGAGUCAGAGGAGGACAGUCAGGGAAUGACCUGGGCCAAAAUACAAUUCUGAUAAGCUCUGCUAUUGUGAACUUGCUGCUUGAAUAUUUUUUCCAGCCAAAAUUUUAUAUAACCUGUGGGGGUACACUAGGGAAGCACUUCUGUAACAGAAAUAGCAAAAGCAAAAAUGUGCAGGUGUUUUGAAGAUGGAGGAAAGUAAUGAAGACCAUAACAGUCCUUGUGGAGGACAGAUACCAAGUGAGAACUUGCACAAAUCACUUCAGUCACCUGUUGUGGAAGCCAAGGAAGUUUAUUGUAGCAUGUGGUUACAAAAGAGUAACUGAAGAUGCUAUCUCCAUUUAGAUUAAAGAGGUGAAUUAUCACCUGACUUUUUGGAGUUCAAGAUUAAUGCUUAUGACUGGAGAAUGCUGUUGGCUUUUGGGAGUCACUGUGAAAAUGGCAUAAUUGAUUGGUAAAACCUGAGGAUAGAACUCUGCAGAACUUUGGUUGCAAACCUCCUCCAUUAACUUUGUUAAUUUAUAGGAAGGUGUUCAAGGUGUUCAAGAAGGCUGCAUAGCACUUGAACAUGAUCUAUCUGGUGAAUUUCUGGCUGAGUCAGUUGUGUAUCUUCCUUGUGUUGCCUAGCUUCCUGCUUCUUAAUCUUGCCCUGUUUUAGUCAACAGCCUGUGCAUCCUUCUCUCCACAAGUCUUUUGUCCUUGACUCUUGCCCGCUGAACUCCAUAGGAUCUUUGCUUUCUUGAUCCUAAGAAGCCCUCUGUUUUCACCAGUACACGCUCUGCCAUUUUGAAAUACAGAUUAGGUGCUGAAAGCACGUGUGGAAUAGCACGUUUUUGUGACUUGCUGUUGAGAGAUUUUGGGCUGGCUCUGCCUGCCAUGCCUGUGUCACAUUUCAGUAUGUUAUAAUUCUGGAGUAGUUUGUCUAUAAUUCUGUGUAGUUUGUCUCUGAAAGCAAGCAAAUUUCAAGUGGCUGUUUUUAGGUCUUGAAGUCCUGGUAUCCUCAAUUGGGUGCACAAGUUUGCAUUCAAGGAUGAUUUUAUUGAGCUGAGAACUCCACUAUUCCUUUGUGAGCCUGGAUUUUUUUAUCAACUUUUUGCAGUUUCUCCCCAGCUGCUUGAGUUUAUUCACUGAGGCAAACAGAACCAUUAAUGUUGGAAGUGUUUUUUAGUCAUGAAUAUGGCUAAGAAUAAUCCUGUGAGGGGAAACUGCUGGGGCAUACCAGUGUGCUACCCACUGGAAAACAGUUGAUACUUCACCAAAUGAUGUUGCUGGAAUGGUGAUACAAACAUUUUACCAGACCUGGUCUACUCUCAGUAGACCCACCUAAUCAGUUUGCAGUUUGAUGACCAGAAGUGCUGUCUGGGGUUGCAAGCUAGGGGCAUGUGAAAGGAAAAGCUUAUGAGAUCUUCAGAAGGCCCUGUAAAAGGGGAACCACUCCUUCCCAGUCUUUGGUAGGUGAGGAAGUUGAUUUCUCUCGUAGAAAUACUUCUAGGCUUAUUCAUAUCACAAACUAUUUUCUUGCUUACUCUGACAUACUUUGCAAAAAUAUCUCUAUGGGAAGAGAAAUAGCCCUUUCCAUAUGCUUUUAUUUCUGUUUCAUUGUCAGUACAGCACUGAAAUCUAAUCUGUGUUAACCUGAACAGCAGCAGAGGUGUAUCUGACUUAAUUAGAAAAGGGACUGUUUUGUCAUUUGAUGAUUGCUGGUGCCCAGGCAAUGCAGAAGAGGUAAAUCGGAGUGACCUCCACAUCUGUGCAGGCACACAGGCAGACCAGGGAAGUGCCUGGUUAAAUUAACAUGCACUGAUAAUAACUAAUUUUUGUAGUGAGUGUGCCUAUCUUCAGCUUCUACUUUUAAAAUCUUUUUUAUUUAUUACUUCCCAAAACUAAGAUCUGAAGUCUUUGUGUAGUUUUGCUUUUGAUCUUGAUGAAGUUCUGGCAUGGAUUAAAUGGUGGUUUCCUUUCUUUUUUUUUUUUCUUCAGCAUCAUAGACAAAGAAGUGUCAUUAAUGGCAGAAAUUGACAAAGUUAAAGAAGAAGCCAUGGAAAUCCUGACUGCUCGGCAGAAGAAAGCUGAAGAGCUGAAGAGGCUGACGGACCUUGCCAGUCAAAUGGCUGAAGCGCAACUGUCUGAACUCAGGGCUGAAAUUAAGCACUUUGUGAGUGAACGGAAAUAUGAUGAAGAGCUGGGCAGGUCUGCCCGAUUUUCCUGUGACACAGAACAGCUGAAGACCCAAAUUCAGCUCUGUGGAGAGAGUAAGUGUUGGUGGUUUAUCAUACCUACGAUCUCAGAAUGUAGCAUUCCAAAUACCUGUCCAGGAAAUGCUGGGCAGAGGUAAUGGUAUGUCUACUGCCAGAGUGUGUGUGUAGCAAGUCUGAUGUGAAUGGUAUGUCAACACAGGAGGUUUGUUGAGCGUGCAUACAUCGCUUUUACAAUUUGCAUCAUACUGUACACAGUGUACAUGUGUUGCACAGACCAUCUGCACGUGUACAGUUGCCUUCUUUGUCAGAGAUUUUCAGAUAUUACUGAGGUCAGCUAAGUUUUCCAUCUAAAUGGAAAGUCAACUGUAGAGAACUCUCAAAUUCAAUAGCUACUUAUGAAAAACUAGUAAAUUGGAAACUUUUCUGUGUGAGCACAGUAUUAUGAGAUCAGUUAAUCUGUCUCCUGCUCAGAAGCAAGUUCCCAUCUGUACAAGAAUAUUCAGUGAGUUUUUCAGGAGCAAAGGUAAUCCCAAAUACUACUUUUAUGAAACCAUCUGCCUUUCUGCUUGGAAAUUCGUAUUCAUCUUCUGCUCUAUAUAUCAUGUUCCUGACGUAAAACGUGAGAUAGACUCUUUCUCAUAUUUGUCAAGCUUUUAUCCUCCCCAAAAAGUAAAUGCUAUGAUGCUUUGCUCCAUGUCAUCCUGCUGUAUAAUAUUCCAUUAGCACCAUCAAUCAGGAGAAAAACUACUAACACAAUACCAAACUACUGUAUUUUGGUGAAAGGAAAAUAAUUUUAGGAAGGAAAUAAGUAGUGUUUCUAAGGAGUUACUAAA